UCGAGUCACCGUGUAACCCUA
rnacentral:siRNA from 1 species